UGCCAUACACCCAGCUCAGACUUCUCUCAUUGCUUGCUAUAUUUCAUGGAUUGUACAGCAGGCUCCAAGUCUUUAAGGUUAUCUGAUGCCGAUGAAUGAAGAUAACAGCUUAUAAUAGAAGGGAAGAAUGAUCUAUGACCUGGGAAGGCUAAAACAAAAUGAAGAGGAACUUGAAGUCCAAGAUAAGGGAGAAGAUGGUAACAGAAUAUAAAGGCUCUCAAUGAGGUUAUAGCAAGAGGCACAGUUCCAGAUUCUCUCCCUCCAUCCAUCCAUAGAGAAGGAAAUGCAAAACACAUUUCAAGUAUGAAAUCAUACAAAAUAAACUUAUGCUUCAGACACAUUACAACAGCAACAACAAUAACAAAACAAGAAAAAGAACCAAAAAAUGUGCUUCAAUCUUCACUGAGUCUACAUCUAAAGACAAGUAGCAUUUUUCGAUUUUUUGAAACUGUGGUGAGUCAUUGUGUUGAUGGGAGUUCCUAAGGCUUUCACUGUUGAUUAUCUUUACAAUAUUACUGUUACUGUGUAAAGUGUUCUAUUUCUGCUCAUUUCACUUUACACCAGUUCACAUAAAUCUUUCCAAAUUUUUCUAAAACUAUCCCCUUCUUCACUUCUUAAAGUACAACACUAUUCCAUCACAUCCACAUACUCUAACUUGUUCAGCUAUUUCCCAAUUGAUGAGCAUCCUCUUAGUUUCCAAUUUUUUGUUAUAACCAAAAAGCCCCAAAACAAAUUGCUAUAGAUAUUUUCGCACAUAUGGGUCUUUCCCCUUUUUCUUUGAUCUCUUUGGAGUAUAGACCUCAUUGGAGCAUUUUUUAUAAAUCAAACAAACAAACAAACUAUGCAUAGUUUAACAGCUUUGGGGGGACACAAAUUGCUUUUCAGAUGGUUAGACUAAUUCACAGAUCUACCCACAAUGAAUUAAUGUAUGUAUUCCCCUAUUUUUCCUCUAGCAUUUAUCUAAAAUGAUAAUCUGUUUAUCUAAAUUUAUAUUAUUUAUAUUUAUCUACAUUUAUCUAAAAAAGAUAAUCUUAUGGGUAUGAGUUGGUAGCUCAAGGAUAUUUUAAUUUACAUUUCUGAAAUCAUUAGUGAUUUAUAGAAUUUUUUCACAUGAAUAUUGAUAGCUUUGAUAUCUUCCUCUGAAAACUGUCUGUUUAUAUUUCUUGAUCAUUUAUUUAUUGGGGAAUGGCUCUUAUAAACUUGUCUCACUUCUUGAUAUGUUUGAGAUAUGAGACAACUUAUAAAUUUGCAGACAAUUUUAAGGGUUAUAUCAGACCAAAGUUUUCCAACUAACCUAACCUAAAUUAAUAAUAAUAUUCACUAUAUCGUAUAUAUUUUAUUUAGUUUAUAUUUUUAUAUUUAUACUUUAUAUAUUAUAUUUGUACUUAUAUAUAAAUUUAAUUUAUAUAGUUCUUCACUAUAAUCUUAUGAGAUAGGUGCUUUUUUUUUUACUCCUAUUUUAUAUGAGGAAAUAAGAGACAGAAAGACAUUAAGUGACUUGCCCAGGGUCACACA